AUGCCGUGGUGUGGGCAUGCUUGAAUGUAUUCCUGUAGACGCUCCCAGGCCUCUGGGAUGGUCUCAUCCGGUAAUUGCUGGAUACCGGAGAUUUUGUUCCGGAGGGC